rnacentral:rRNA from 1 species
AUUGAACGCUGGCGGCAGGCCUAACACAUGCAAGUCGAGCGUAUGAAGGGAGCUUGCUCCUGGAUUCAGCGGCGGACGGGUGAGUAAUGCCUAGGGAUCUGCCUGGUAGUGGGGGAUAACGUCCGGAAACGGGCGCUAAUACCGCAUACGUCCUGAGGGAGAAAGUGGGGGAUCUUCGGACCUCACGCUAUCAGAUGAGCCUAGGUCGGAUUAGCUAGUUGGUGGGGUAAAGGCCUACCAAGGCGACGAUCCGUAACUGGUCUGAGAGGAUGAUCAGUCACACUGGAACUGAGACACGGUCCAGACUCCUACGGGAGGCAGCAGUGGGGAAUAUUGGACAAUGGGCGAAAGCCUGAUCCAGCCAUGCCGCGUGUGUGAAGAAGGUCUUCGGAUUGUAAAGCACUUUAAGUUGGGAGGAAGGGCAGUAAGUUAAUACCUUGCUGUUUUGACGUUACCAACAGAAUAAGCACCGGCUAACUUCGUG